CCUACGGGUGGCAGCAGUGAGGAAUAUUGGUCAAUGGACGAGAGUCUGAACCAGCCAAGUAGCGUGAAGGAUGACUGCCCUAUGGGUUGUAAACUUCUUUUAUAAAGGAAUAAAACAGGGUAUGUGUGCCUUCUUGUAUGUACUGUAUGAAUAAGGAUCGGCUAACUCCGUGCCAGCAGCCGCGGUAAUACGGAGGAUCCGAGCGUUAUCCGGAUUUAUUGGGUUUAAAGGGAGCGUAGGUGGGUUGUUAAGUCAGUUGUGAAAGUUUGCGGCUCAACCGUAAAAUUGCAAUUGAGACUGGCAGUCGUGAGUACAGUUGAGGUAGUCGGAAUUCGUGGUGUAGCGGUGAAAUGCUUAGAUAUCACGAAGAACCCCGAUUGCGAAGGCAGCUCACUAGACUGUGACUGACACUGAUGCUCGAAAGUGUGGGUAUCAAACAGGAUUAGAUACCCUUGUAGUC
rnacentral:rRNA from 1 species